CGAGAAAAUCGGCUUGUUGAUUCCUGUUUCGGCAGGGGUAGGAAAGUCCGGACACCAUAGAGCAGCAAAGCGGAUAACAUCCGUCACCCGUGAGGGUAGGACAAGUGCAACAGAAAGCAGGUACAGUUCGGCUGUAGUGAAACCAGGUAAACUCUUUGCGGUGCAAUGAUAAGUAUAUCGGUUCUUUUCAGUAAUGGAAAUUAGGGGCGGCUCGUCCUGAAAGCCGAGGGGUAAUCAGCUCAAGUUUUGCAGCAAUGUAAGACGCAGAUAAAUAACAGGCGCUUCUUCGGAAGAACAAAAUCCGGCUUACAGAUCUUCUCGCGAU
rnacentral:RNase_P_RNA from 2 species